ACACACACACACACACUCUCGCUCUCUCGCUCUCUCUUUUUUUUAAGCUCUCUGUUAUUAUUUUCUGGUAAUUCUCGAGUGUUUCUGUGAGUCUCUCGCCCUCUCAGUGUUUUGAUUGCUAGGAGGAAAACCAACGUGGAGGCGACGGCGACACUUUGUUUACUACUGAGGAGCAGAGACGAGUACUCGGGAAGCCCGAGUGGAACGAGUCGCUCGCUUCGCCUCGACCUCCGCUCGGGGCCCAAAGCGGGGCCUGGCGGGGGCCGGGGACGCUCAGCGCCCCGGGGGCGCUGGGUGGGCGGGCGGGCGGAGGCGGCCUCGCUGCAUUCUGCUCAAUCACCACCUCUCGACUCUGCCCACGAUUUCUUUGCAGAGAAACGUGGGGAAGUCGAAUGGAAGUGCUGAGGUGUUGAGAAGUGAAAACGGAAGAGGGGAGAGGACCAGAGCCUUGGGGUGCAGCCCUGCCCCACUCGCAGGUGUUCCUUUAGGCCGCUUGCCCCGUGCGUCCAUCAACCCACCCCACCUUUCCCCAUCUGGGCUCCAGGUCCAGGACGUCCUGCCGAGAUCGGUGGGGCAAAAGACACAAACCGACAAGGCCUGGGGAAAGGAGCAGAAUGCCUCCACCUGGAUAGGAAAGCAAAUCACGUGUGUCCCUCGCUCAUCUCCAGCCAAGGCUAUAGUAAACUAGAAGACAGGAUACUUCCUAACACAUUUUAUGAGACCAGCAUUACCUUGUUAAAAAAACAAAGACAAAACAACAACCAAAAACAGGAGCAAGAGAGAGAGAGAACUACAAAACAAUAUCUCUAAUAAACUUAGAGGAAAAACCUUUAAACAAAAUUAGCAGACAAAUCCAACAACGUAUAAAAAGAUGUAUACACCAAGAUCAAGUGGGAUUUACUUAAGUAGGAUUCUACUGCAAGGCUGGUUCAACAUCUGAAAAUCAAGGUAAUCUACCAUAUCAACGGGUUAAAGAAGAAAAAUCGUAUGACCCAACACUCACUUUGAUAAAUACUCUCAGCAAAUUAGGAAAAGAGAAGAACUACAUCAACAUGGUAAACCUACAGCUAAUAUCAUAGUGAAAGACUGAAGGCUUCUCCCCUAAGUUCCUGAACAAGGCAAGGAGAUCAGCGCUCACUACUCUUACUCAACAUAGUACUGAAAGUUCCAGCCACUGAUAAGGGAGGCAGGAAGAAAAGUCACGGAGGUGGGAAAGGAAGACAUAAAACUAUUUGUAGAUGACAUGAUUGUCUACAUAGAAAAUUCCAAGGAAUCUACAAAAAAACUCCUAGAACUAAUUAGUGAGUUCAGUAAGGUUACAGGAUACAAGAUCAUAAAAAUAAAAAUCACUAUUUAAAUUGGAAGACUCAACAUAGUAAAGAUGUCAUUUCUCUCCAAACUGAUCUACAGGUUUAAUGUACUUUCUACCAAAAUUCCAGCCAAGUUUUGCCACAGACAAGCUUAUUCUAAAAUUUAUAUGGAAAGGGUUAAGUCCUCGAAGAGUUAAAACAAUCUUGAAAGAGAAGAAUAAAGUGGGAGGAAUAAUGCUAGGGCUGACUAUACAGCUACAGUACAGGCAUGCCUCGUUUCAUUGUGCUCUGCUUUAUUGUGCUUCACAGAUAUUGCCUUUUUUCUUCUUUUUUUCUUUUUCUUUUUUUUUUUUUUAUAAAUUAAAGGUUUGUGGCAACCCUUUGUCAAGCAAGUGUAUCUACACCAUUUUUUCCAAUGGCAUUUGCUUACUUCCAUGUCUCUAUGUCACAUUUUGGUAAU